AGCCAUGCAGAGAUUCGAACUCGCCGCCCUGGUUUACGAGACCAGUGCUCUAACCUCUGAGGCUAUGGUGGC